rnacentral:rRNA from 1 species
AGGAAUUGGCGGGGGAGCACCGCAACGGGAGGAGCGUGCGGUUUAAUUGGAUUCAACACCGGAAAACUCACCAAGGGCGACUAUCACAUAAAAGCCAGGCUAACGACCUUGCUUGAUCCUUAGAGAGGUGGUGCAUGGCCGUCGUCAGUUCGUACCGUAAGGCGUUCUCUUAAGUGAGAUAACGAACGAGACCCUCAUCUAUAAUUGCUACUUCACCCUCCGGGGUGGAGGCACAUUAUCGAGACCGCUGGCGCUAAGUCAGAGGAAGGAGAGGUCAACGGUAGGUCAGUAUGCCCCGAAUCUCUUGGGCUACACGCGCGCUACAAAGGGCGGGACAAUGGGCUACGACGCCGAAAGGCGAAGUCAAUCUCGAAACCCGUCCGUAGUUCGGAUUGAGGCUUGUAACUCAGCCUCAUGAAGCUGGAUUCCGUAGUAAUCGCGAAUCAAAAACUCGCGGUGAAUAUGCCCCUGCUCCUUGCACACACCGC